UGACACGAGUAGCCAGCACGAGAAGCUACUAUCCACUGCAAGCCUGGAUGGAAUUUCUACUCGCCAGGGCUGAUGGACUAGUGGAAUUUUGAGCCCUGAUGAGAGGCGACUUGUUAGUAUGCAAUGGAAGAGAUCCCACCAUGCAUUAAGCAGAGAGGGACAUUUUGAAGAAAUUGAUAAUUAUACAAAAAUGCAAUUCAUCAAAAUAAAUCUAAA